rnacentral:tRNA from 1 species
GUAACUUAUGACUCAGUGACAGAGCAUCUGCUUGGCAUGCAAAAUAUCCCUGGUUCAAUCCCUGGUAUCUCCA